rnacentral:rRNA from 1 species
GAUCAUGGCUCAGAUUGAACGCUGGCGGCAGGCCUAACACAUGCAAGUCGAGCGGUAGAGAGGUGCUUGCAUCUCUUGAGAGCGGGCGACGGGUGAGUAAUGCCUAGGAAUCUGCCUAGUGGUGGGGGAUAACGUUCGGAAACGGACGCUAAUACCGCAUACGUCCUACGGGAGAAAGCGGGGGAUCUUCGGACCUCGCGCCAUUAGAUGAGCCUAGGUCGGAUUAGCUAGUUGGUGAGGUAAUGGCUCACCAAGGCGACGAUCCGUAACUGGUCUGAGAGGAUGAUCAGCCACACUGGAACUGAGACACGGUCCAGACUCCUACGGGAGGCAGCAGUGAGGAAUUUUCUGCAAUGGGCGAAAGCCUGACAGAGCAAUACCGCGUGAGGGAAGAAGGCUUACUGAGUUGUAAACCUCUGUUACCUAAGGAGGAAGAUCUGACGUUACUUAGGAGACGAAGCAUCGGCUAACUCCGUG